CCUACGGGGGGCUGCAGUAAGGAAUAUUGGUCAAUGGACGAAAGUCUGAACCAGCCAUCCCGCGUGCAGGAUGAAAGCCCUAUGGGUUGUAAACUGCUUUUAGCAGAGAAGAAAAGCUUCCAUUUAUGGGGGUCUGACGUUAUCUGCAGAAUAAGCACCGGCCAACUCCGUGCCAGCAGCCGCGGUAAUACGGAGGGUGCGAGCGUAAUCCGGUUAUACGGUGUUUAAGGGGUGCAUUAAGGCAGUGGUAAAAUCUUGGCGCUUAACGAUAAAAUUGCCAAUGAUACUGGUACUCUUGAAUUGGGUUGAGGUUAGCGGAAUGUGACAUGUAGCGGUGAAAUGCAUAGAUAUGUCAUGGAACACCAAUUGCGAAGGCAGCUAACUGGGCCUUGAUUGACGCUGAGGCACGAAAGCGUGGGUAGCGAACAGGAUUAGAUACCCGAGUAGUC
rnacentral:rRNA from 1 species